CGGAGGGCUAGCGUUAUUCGGAAUUACUGGGCGUAAAGCGCGCGUAGGCGGUUUUCUAAGUCAGAGGUGAAAGCCCGGAGCUCAACUCCGGAAUUGCCUUUGAAACUGGAUCACUAGAAUCAUGGAGAGGUCAGUGGAAUUCCGAGUGUAGAGGUGAAAUUCGUAGAUAUUCGGAAGAACACCAGUGGCGAAGGCGACUGACUGGACAUGUAUUGACGCUGAGGUGCGAAAGCGUGGGAGCAAACAGGAUU
rnacentral:rRNA from 1 species